CCUACGGGGGGCAGCAGUGGGGGAUAUUGCACAAUGGGGGGAACCCUGAUGCAGCGACGCCGCGUGGGUGAAGGAGCGUUUCGGCGCGUAAAGCCCUAUCGGCAGGGAAGAAGAUGACGGUAACUGACCAAGAAGCCCCGGCUAACUACGUGCCAGCAGCCGCGGUAAUACGAAGGGGGCAAGCGUUAUCCGGAUUUACUGGGUGGAAAGGGGGCGCAGACGGCAAUGCAAGCCAGGAGUGAAAGCCCGGGGCCCCACCCCGGGACUGCUCUUGGAACUGCAUGGCUGGAGUACAGGAGGGGCAGGCGGAAUUCCUAGUGUAGCGGUGAAAUGCGUAGAUAUUAGGAGGAACACCGGUGGCGAAGGUGGCCUGCUGGACUGUGACUGACGUUGAGGGCCGAAGGCGUGGGGAGCAAACAGGAUUAGAUACCCCAGUAGUC
rnacentral:rRNA from 1 species